UGGGAAGGCCGGCGGGAUGGAGGCAGCGAGACGAGCUCACGGUCGAGGAUCCGGGUGAAGCGGGACAGGAGCAAGAGCCAGAGCCGGACCAAAGCAGAAGGUGCAGGUCGGCGCGGGCCGGUUGGGCCGGGAGACCCGGUCAGGCCGGACGGCCCGGCGUCCGCCUGCCCCACCCCUUGCCUCCACAGACCGCAAGACCAUGGCCACGAUGGUGCUUCCUCGAGAGGAGAAGCUGAGUCAGGACGAGAUAGUACUGGGCACCAAGGCGGUUAUCCAGGGUUUAGAGACCCUUCGAGGGGAGCAUCGUGCCCUGCUAGCUCCCCUAGCUUCUCAUGAGGCAGGCGAGGCCGAGCCGGGCUCACAGGAGCGCUGCCUCCUCCUGCGCCGCUCCCUGGAGGCCAUCGAGCUGGGGCUUGGGGAGGCUCA
rnacentral:lncRNA from 1 species